rnacentral:rRNA from 1 species
AUUGAACGCUGGCGGCAUGCUUUACACAUGCAAGUCGAACGGCAGCGCGGGCUUCGGCCUGGCGGCGAGUGGCGAACGGGUGAGUAAUGCAUCGGAACGUGCCCAGUAGUGGGGGAUAGCCCGGCGAAAGCCGGAUUAAUACCGCAUACGACCUGAGGGUGAAAGCGGGGGACCGAAAGGCCUCGCGCUAUUGGAGCGGCCGAUGUCGGAUUAGCUAGUUGGUGGGGUAAAGGCUUACCAAGGCGACGAUCCGUAGCUGGUCUGAGAGGACGACCAGCCAAAGGGGGACUGAGGCACGGCCCAGACUCCUACGGGGGGCAGCAGUGGGGAAUUGUGGACAAGGGGGGCAACCCUAAUCCAGCAAUGCCGCGGGAGGGAAGAAGCCCUGCGGGUUGUAAACCGCUUUUGUUCGGGAAGAAAUCCUCUGGGCAAAUACCCCGGGGGGAUGACGGUACCGGAAGAAUAAGCACCGGCUAACUACGUG